rnacentral:lncRNA from 1 species
GGGAGAACCGGAAGGGUGGUGAACGAGGAGCACCAGACCCACAGAGGGACGGUGGGAUAGGCGGCCGCUCGGAUAAAUCGCCACAGCAGCUGGAGAAUCCGCCGGGUCUGUCUGGACCUGUGCAGUGGAGGUGUAACCGGGAGCUCUGCCCUCAGCCUGUGGUAAUAACAUCAGGUGACUCUGCUGGCAUCUGGACUGACAGCAUAGUCCAGCUUCUUACCACAUCACCAGCGUUCCCAGAAGACUUCAGGGACAUAAACACGCGCCCGCGAGCUGGGUGAUGAUGUAAGUUUUAGAUGGACACUUGUUUUUUUCUGUGCAGUUAGCUCCUUCCAGCUGGUAAUAAGAAUUUUUUUUUGUGUGGCCGCUCGCUCAGGUCUGGUGCCGGUGGGUUGUGGGUCUGUCCUGUCCUGUCCUGUUGCCUCCCCCUCCCUUCCAAAUUUUCCUUUCAUGUUUGUUAUCUGAUCCUUUAUUUUUUUUCCUUUUCGUGCUCUAUCUGACACUUAGUGAAGUAUCUCUCCAGGCCUGUUCAGUAUACGGUAUCUGGAGCUCCUUCACAGGAAAGCUCUGUCGAUCGUCUUAGUUUUGCAGCAAGGAACCCUUGAGGCCACAAGGUGCACCUGCAGGGUCAGAAGACAGGGGGCGCUGCUUGGCAGCAGGGAUGGGCAGUGCAGG